rnacentral:rRNA from 1 species
CCUACGUGAGGCAGCAGUGAGGAAUAUUGGUCAAUGGGCGCUAGCCUGAACCAGCCACGUAGCGUGAAGGAUGACUGCCCUAUGGGUUGUAAACUUCUUUUACAUGGGAAUAAAGUGCAGUAUGUAUACUGCUUUGCAUGUACCUUAUGACUAAGGAUCGGCUAACUCAGUGCCAGCAGCCGCGGUAAUACGGAGGAUUCGAGCGUUAUCCGGAUUUAUUGGGUGUUAAGGGAGCGUAGGCGGGUUGUGAAGUCAGUUGUGAAAGGUUGCGGCUCAACCGUAAAAUUGCAGUUGAUACUGGCAUCCGAGAGUACAGGAGAGGUAGGCGGAAUUCAUGGUGUAGCGGUGAAAUGCUUAGAUAUCACGAAGAACUCCGAUGGCGAAGGCAGCCUGCUGGACUGUAACUGACGCUGAUGCUCGAAAGUGUGGGUAGCAAACAGGAUUAGAUACCCCAGUAGUC